UACGGGGGGGGCAAGCGCUGUUCGGAAUUACUGGGCGUAAAGGGCUCGUAGGCGGCCAACUAAGUCGGAUGUGAAAUCCCCAGGCUUAACCUGGGAACUGCAUCCGAUACUGGAUGGCUUGAAUUCGGGAGAGGGAUGCAGAAUUCCAGGUGUAGCGGUGAAAUGCGUAGAUAUCUGGAGGAAUACCGGUGGCGAAGGCGGCAUCCUGGACCGACAUUGACGCUGAGGAGCGAAAGCUAGGGGAGCAAACGGG
rnacentral:rRNA from 1 species